rnacentral:rRNA from 1 species
UACAGAGGUCCCAAGCGUUGUUCGGAUUCAUUGGGCGUAAAGGGUGCGUAGGCGGCGCGGUAAGUCGGGUGUGAAAUCUCGGAGCUUAACUCCGAAACUGCAUUCGAUACUGCCGUGCUUGAGGACUGGAGAGGAGACUGGAAUUUACGGUGUAGCGGUGAAAUGCGUAGAUAUCUGGAGGAACACCGGUGGCGAAGGCGGCGUCCUGGACCAACACUGACACUGAUGAGCGAAAGCCAGGGGAGCAAACGGG